UAGUCCACGCCGUAAACGAUGGAUACUAGCUGUUUAUUUCGAUUUUUUCGUAAUGAGUGGCCAAGCGAAAGUGAUAAGUAUCCCACCUGGGGAGUACGUUCGCAAGAAUGAAACUCAAAGGAAUUGACGGGGGCCCGCACAAGCGGUGGAGCAUGUGGUUUAAUUCGAUGAUACGCGAGGAACCUUACCAGGGCUUAAAUGUAGAUUGACAGGUUUAGAGAUAGACUUUUCUUCGGACAAUUUACAAGGUGCUGCAUGGUUGUCGUCAGCUCGUGCUGUGAAGCGUUUGGUUAAGUCCUAUAACGAGCGCAACCCCUGUUGUUAGUUGCCAUCACGUAAAGGUGGGGACUCUAGCAAGACUGCCGGUGCAAACCGUGAGGAAGGUGGGGAUGACGUCAAAUCAUCACGGCCCUUACGUCCUGGGGCUACACACGUGCUACAAUGGGUAGGGGACAAUGAGCAGCCACGUCGCGAGGCGGCGCUAAUCUAUAAACCCUAUCUCAGUUCGGAUCGGAGUCU
rnacentral:rRNA from 1 species